ACUCCUACGGGAGGCAGCAGUGGGGAAUAUUGCACAAUGGGCGCAAGCCUGAUGCAGCCAUGCCGCGUGUGUGAAGAAGGCCUUCGGUUGUAAAGCACUUUCAGUCGUGAGGAAGGUAGUGUAGUUAAUAGCUGCAUUAUUUGACGUUAGCGACAGAAGAAGCACCGGCUAACUCCGUGCCAGCAGCCGCGGUAAUACGGAGGGGUGCGAGCGUUAAUCGGAAUUACUGGGCGUAAAGCGCAUGCAGGUGGUUUGUUAAGUCAGAUGUGAAAGCCCGGGGCUCAACCUCGGAAUAGCAUUUGAAACUGGCAGACUAGAGUACUGUAGAGGGGGGUAGAAUUUCAGGUGUAGCGGUGAAAUGCGUAGAGAUCUGAAGGAAUACCGGUGGCGAAGGCGGCCCCCUGGACAGAUACUGACACUCAGAUGCGAAAGCGUGGGGAGCAAACAGGAUUAGAUACCCUGGUAGGAUAGCG
rnacentral:rRNA from 1 species